rnacentral:lncRNA from 1 species
CAUGGUUUGAUUGACCACCUGCUCAUUUUGGUGACAGCAUCUUGUCCUUUACCCUUUGUCAUUUUGAAUGACUGUUGAGUUGCCAGAUUCUGUCUACUGAUCCUCUCACCCCUGAGUUCCAGCUAUCCAGCAAGGAUUCCUCAAGCUAUGCCUAAUUUUUGGGUGUGGGCCUCUACAUGUGUUUCCAUCUGUUGCUGGGUGAAGCAGAGACCGAUGCCAUGACAAGGAUCCUAUAUGUGACACUGUUAAUUAUAUUCUGCUAUACUUGCAGUCAGGAGCAUAGCCUGACAUCAGAACAUUCCUAAGGAAGUUAUGUGUCCUUAGCAACCUUAUGAGGAAUUGUGGAUCUAGAUAGCAUUUGCAGUUGACUUCACCCUGUGACUCAGAGAUAAUCCACAUGGGCAGAAGUCUGAAAUCAAAGCAUCAGGAGGACCAGGCUCCCUUCCAAAAGGAGAACAUUUCCUACCUCUUUCAGACCCUUGUUGCUCCAAGCACCUCUUGGCCCAAGGCUACAUGGAUCCAGUAUUUACCUCCGUCAUCACAAG